rnacentral:rRNA from 1 species
GGGGAAACCCACCCGCAAGGGUAUCGUGCAGUGAAUACAUAGCUGUACGAAGCGAACUCAGGGGAAACUGAAAAUAUCUAAAGUACCCUGAAAGGAAAAGAAAAUCAACCCGAGAUUCCCCAAGUAGUGACGAGCGAACGGGGAGCAGCCCAAAAGUCGAGCAUGCUUUUAGAGGAGCGGUCUGGAAAGUCCGGCCAUAGAAGGUGAUAGCCCUGUACUUAAAAGGGCAUGUUCGAUGAAAUUGAGUAGGGCGGGGCACGUGAAACCCUGUCUGAACAUGGGGGGACCAUCCUCCAAGGCUAAAUACUCCUGACUGACCGAUAGUGAACCAGUACCGUGAGGGAAAGGCGAAAAGAACCCCGGCGAGGGGAGUGAAAUAGAACCUGAAACCGUAUGCGUACAAGCAGUGGGAGCCCGUAAGGGGUGACUGCGUACCUUUUGUAUAAUGGGUC